UUGCGGGUAUGCGGGUCGAGACCAUCCGCGUUCUUGACCAGAUCAUUCGCGGUCUGCGUUGUCAGCAGAUAGGCCUGCAUUACAAAAUCAAAAAACUGAUUGGUCUUCCAUUCCGUAUCCUGAAAGCGCUUGUCACGCGGCGAUGGAUCGGCGGCGCGCGUCGUUGCUUCUCCGGACAAGCGGCGUGCAGCGCUUGUCAUCAGAUCCAGAUAAGCCUUGCCCAGCUUUGCCUGAACGCUGGCGGCG
rnacentral:misc_RNA from 1 species